CUGAGGUGACUGACUGACUGAUUGUGAGACAUCCUCAUUGUCACUUGUGACCACAGUAACCACCACGGUUUGGGUACAGCCGUUUACGUUACUCACACACACAGCCUACUCACUUCCCCUCGCAGAACACACACACCUACACAGGGGAAUUUAGAGAAACAGGUUUGCUAUAUUCACGUCAGUUUGCAACGCACCUCUUUUCGUGUGUUGCAAUUGCAUUCAGUAGUGUCUAUGAAUCGCCUGAUUAUGAAGGCGAUAAUGAAUGAAAAGUGUAUACUUAUUUGACAUUGUAUGUAGUUCUGUCCUGAUGCUGUUCUUGUCUAUUCAUGUUCUGUAUUAUGUCAUGUUUUAUGUGGAUUCCAGGAAGAGUAGCUGCUGCUUUAGCACUAGCCAAUGGGAUCCUAAUAAACACUCAAUUCAGACACACACACACACACACACACACACACACACACACACACACACACACACACACACACACACAAAAAGACCCACAGUCUGUAAAUCUGCCUCGCACAUCGUACAUCUGUUACCACAGAACACCAGACAAACACACAGCCACCGACAGACAAUAGAUAACUACAUCUAAAGAGGCACUCUGUGGCUAGUUGAAAUCUGCACCCUGAUUUCCCAGAAAUCAAGAUAAUUAUACUAGUAAGAGACCUACCAAAAAUAAUCAUGAUUACCAUCACUCAAAUCAGCAUAAUAUACCAUCACUAAAAUCAGCAUAAUAUACCAUCACUAAAAUCAGUAUAAUAUACCAUCACUAAAAUCUGAAUAAUAUACCUUCAUUAAAAUCAGCAUUGUAUACCAUCACUAAUAUCAGCAUAAUAUACCAUCACUAAAAUCAGCAUUAUAUACUGUAAUGAAACAGCAGGGAGCAGGUCUCGAACCCUCGACCUUCGAGCCCGAGGUACGGCGCGCUAUCGACUGUGCCGCAAAAGCAUGCUCGUGCGGCAGGGUCGAUUUCCGCGCUUAGACACCCAGGGUCGUUACAAUACCAUCACUAAAAUCAGCAUUAUAUACCAUCACUAAAAUCAGCAUAAUAUACCAUCACUAAAAUCAGCCUAAUCAUUGUCACCAUCAUGAUAGUCAUAAUAAACGUCAUCAUCUUCAUAACUUCAAGGUUAUUUAGUUACACGUUCCUUUCUUUAGGCUAUACUGUAGUUGAGAAGUGGGUACAGUGUCUCUCAGGCAGUACAAUAAAGGCCUUGUUUAGUGUCUGUCUCCUCCUAACAGCAGCAACACUGGUGGUUACUGGUGAAGCUGGUUGUUAAGUGUCUGUCUCCUCCUAACAGCAGCAGCACUGGUGGUUACUGGUGAAGCUGGUUGUUUAGUGUCUGUCUCCUCCUAACAGCAGCAUCACUGGUGGUUACUGGUGAAGCUGGUUGUUAACUGUCUGUCUCCUCCUAACAGCAGCAGCACUGGUGGUUACUGGUGAAGCUGGUUGUUAAGUGUCUGUCUCCACCUAACAGCAGCAUCACUGGUGGUUACUGGUGAAGCUGGUUGUUAAUAAGUGUCUGUCUCCUCCUAGCAGCAGCAUCACUGGUGGUUACUGGUGAAGCUGGUUGUUAAUAACUGUCUGUCUCCUCCUAACAGCAGCAUCACUGGUGGUUACUGGUGAAGCUAGUUGUUAAUAAGUGUCUGUCUCCUCCUAGCAGCAGCAUCACUGGUGGUUACUGGUGAAGCUGGUUGUUAAUAAGUGUCUGUCUCCUCCUAGCAGCAGCAUCACUGGUGGUUACUGGUGAAGCUGGUUGUUAAGUGGAGCUGGUGGUUACUGGUGAAGCUGGUUGUUAAGUGGAGCUGGUGGUUACUGGUGAAGCUGGUUGUUAAGUGGAGCUGGUGGUUACUGGUGACAGUGGUUUUUAUUGGAAGUGUGAAAGAGAGGCCACUCCACACAGGGACAGGGAGGGGCUCCACAUCUGUCUUCCCCUGUCUCAGGACCUGCUGCACACACACGCACACACACACACACACACACACACACACACACACACACACACACACACACACACACACACACACACACACACACACACACACACACACACACACACACACACACACACACACACACAGUUCCUGUUACCUCUGCCACAGAACGUCCUCUGAAGUGUGCGUGCGUGCGUG
ensembl:lncRNA